rnacentral:rRNA from 1 species
UACGUAGGGGGCAAGCGUUGUCCGGAUUUAUUGGGCGUAAAGCGCUCGCAGGUGGUUCGUCGCGUCGUGCGUGAAAGACCCCGGCUCAACUGGGGGGCGUCGUGCGAUACGGGCGGACUGGAGGCCAGUAGGGGGAUGCGGAAUUCCGGGUGUAGUGGUGAAAUGCGUAGAGAUCCGGCGGAACACCGGUGGCGCAGGCGGCACCCUGGGCCGAGGCCGACGCUGAGGCGCGAGAGCGUGGGGAGCGAACCGG